GGAUAAUAGCUCAGUGGUAGAGCACGUGCUUAGCAUGCGCGGGGUCCUGGGUUCGAUCCCCAGUAUCUCCA
rnacentral:tRNA from 1 species